rnacentral:rRNA from 1 species
ACGUUAGCGGCGGACGGGUGAGUAACACGUGGGUAACCUACCUAUAAGACUGGGAUAACUUCGGGAAACCGGAGCUAAUACCGGAUAAUAUUUCGAACCGCAUGGUUCGAUAGUGAAAGAUGGUUUUGCUAUCACUUAUAGAUGGACCUGCGCCGUAUUAGCUAGUUGGUAAGGUAACGGCUUACCAAGGCGACGAUACGUAGCCGACCUGAGAGGGUGAUCGGCCACACUGGAACUGAGACACGGUCCAGACUCCUACGGGAGGCAGCAGA